rnacentral:rRNA from 1 species
CCUACGGGUGGCAGCAGUGAGGAAUAUUGGUCAAUGGACGAGCGUCUGAACCAGCCAAGUAGCGUGAAGGAUGACUGCCCUAUGGGUUGUAAACUUCUAUUAUAUGGGAAUAAAAUGUUCCACGUGUGGGAUUUUGUAUGUACCCUAUGACUAAGGAUCGGCUAACUCCGUGCCAGAACCCGCGGUAAUACGGGGGAUCCGAGCGUUAUCCGGUUUUAUUGGGUUUAAAGGGAGCGUAGGUGGAUUGUUAAGUCAGUGGUGAAAGUUUGCGGCCCAACCGGAAAAUUGCAGUUGCAACUGACAGUCGUGAGUACAGUAGAGGUGGGCGGAAUUCGUGGUGUAGCGGUGAAAUGCUUAGAUAUCACGAAGAACUCCGAUUGCGAAGGCAGCUCACUGACUGCAACUGACACUGAGGCUCGAAAGUGUGGGUAUCAAACAGGAUUAGAUACCCCAGUAGUC